AUGAACGCUGGCGGCGUGCUUAAUACAUGCAAGUCGAACGAAGCUCCUUAUCUUCGGACGAGGAGUCUUAGUGGCGAACGGGUGCGUAACGCGUUGGUGACCUGCCCCGAAGAGGGGGAUAACAGUUCGAAAGGACUGCUAAUACCCCAUAGGGUCAAAGAGAUUAGAAGCUCAUUGACCAAAGGAGAAAUUCGCUUCGGGAGGGGCCUGCGUCCCAUCAGCUAGUUGGUAAGGUAACGGCUUACCAAGGCGACGACGGGUAGGGGACCUGAGAGGGUGGCCCCCCACAAUGGAACUGAAACACGGUCCAUACACCUACGGGUGGCAGCAGUAGGGAAUAUUAGUUAAUGUGCGAAAGCGCGAACUAGCAACGCCGCGUGUGCGAUGAAGGCCUUCGGGUCGUAAAGCACUUUUCGAGAAGAUGAGGAAGGACAGUACUCUCGGAAUAAGUCUCGGCUAACUACGU
rnacentral:rRNA from 1 species